UACGUAGGGUGCGAGCGUUGUCCGGAAUUAUUGGGCGUAAAGAGCUCGUAGGCGGUUUGUCGCGUCGGCCGUGAAAACUUGGGGCUUAACCCCAAGCUUGCGGUCGAUACGGGCAGACUUGAGUUCGGCAGGGGAGACUGGAAUUCCUGGUGUAGAGGUGAAAUGCGCAGAUAUCAGGAGGAACACCGGUGGCGAAGGCGGGUCUCUGGGCCGAUACUGACGCUGAGGAGCGAAAGCGUGGGGAGCGAACAGG
rnacentral:rRNA from 1 species